rnacentral:tRNA from 2 species
UGUCCCGUGGUGUAAUGGUAGCACAGGAGAUUUUGGUUCUCUUAGUCUGGGUUCGAAUCCUAGCGGGACAA